AUGGAAAAGGAAACAAAUUUAUAUAAGAGGGUGGGCCUUUUCUUUCUUGUUGAUUCAAUAACUCAAUGCUCUUGCAAUCAGAAAGGAGGAACUGGUGAUGUAUUUCCCUCCGUUAUUCAGGCGGUUCUGCCUCGUUUACUUUAUGCUGCCGCACCUCCUGGAAAUUCGGCAUGGGAGAAUCGAAGGCAAUGUCUCAAGGUUCUGAAACUUUGGCUUGAGAGGAAAACACUUCCAGAAUACAUCAUUCGUCACCAUAUUAGAGAACUCGAGGUUAUCAAUGACGCAUCUUUUGGCAGCUCUCGCCGUCCUUCAAGGACAGAGAGAGCUUUAAAUGACCCAUUGCGUGACAAUGAAGGAAUGCUUGUUGAUGAGUAUGGGAGCAAUGCUGGUUUUCACAUACCAAACUUAAUUUGCACAAAAGUACUUGAAGACGAUGAAGGAAGCUCCUCUGAGGACAUUAGUUUUGAAGCCGUCACACCUGAACAUGAGGCUCCAGGUGUUGAUGAGAAGGGAGAAUCUCAAAUACCUGUAGAGAAGCAUGGGCUCAUCCUUGAAGAUGUUGAUGGCGAGCUUGAGAUGGAGGAUGUAGCUCCAUCAUCUGAAGCUGAAGCUAGUACCAGAUCCCAACCAGAGCGAAGUGAUACCAACUGCACACCAUCUUAUCACCAUCCUUCAGAUAACGGUCCUCCCCUCCUGAACAAUUGGCCUCCAUCACCCCCACCAUUGCCAUCAUCUCCUCCACCUGUUCCCGUUGCUCAGAGAACGCAGUUGCAGGCAACUUCACAAAUGGCAUCUGAUCCAGUUGGGCCGUAUCCAGCACUUGCUACUUAUAAUGUUCAAAGUCAGCAGCCACAUUCUACCAUGGAGCACCCACGCAGCAUGAAUCCCUCGGUAGCUCCGUUGCAGCCUCCAUCAUUCUGCAAUUCGGGAUAUGGUGUGCAUCGAAAUCAGAUUGCGCCACUCAAUCCAACUGGACCUCAUGGCAAUUUCGCCACACCACCAGCACCAUACCAUGGAAAUAACUACCAUCAACGUCUCACUGCAUCGAUGCCUAAUGAGGGAUAUCAUAUGCAGCGACCGCCCCCUCCGCCUCCAAGUCAAUUCCCUCAUAUGCCAUCAGAACCUAAUAAAAGACCACAACAAUGGAGUAAUAACUCCUUGUCUUAUCCUGAGAGCCAUCGUUAUAAUGGGCAUGAUCGAGAUCAUCACAGACAUGAUAACAUGCAUCACGGGUAUGAUAGGAGACACCACUUGAAUGAUAGAGGGUAUCGCCAUGAUGAAAGAGGACAUCACUUUGACGAGAGAGCUAUUAGGGGGCCGAUGCUCCAUGACCCUGACAGGGGAAGAUUUCCUCCUUUUCCGCCAGGACCACCUGCUCCAGACCAUUUUGAAGCAUUUGCAGCGCCAAUGCAAUAUGGACGUCCAUCAGAUCCUCCGCCAGGUGGGUGGUCUAUGGAUCCUCAAGUUCCUCAUGUCGCAGGAGGUAUGUUACUACUCAUCCUGCACUGUUCUGUUUUCUGUUGUGAGUUGCAUCUAUUUGCCCGAUCGUCUCUACUAUUACAAGUCAAGUUGUCUAGAAAAUCCAAUUCCAGUUCCUUAGUAGUGCGUGCUACUUAA
rnacentral:rRNA from 1 species